CCUACGGGUGGCAGCAGUGGGGAAUAUUGGACAAUGGGGGGAACCCCGAUCCAGCCAUGCCGCGUGUGUGAAGAAGGCCCUCGGGUUGUAAAGCACUUUCAGUGAGGAAGAACGCCUGGUGGUUAAUACCCAUCAGGAAAGACAUCACUCACAGAAGAAGCACCGGCUAACUCCGUGCCAGCAGCCGCGGUAAUACGGAGGGUGCGAGCGUUAAUCGGAAUUACUGGGCGUAAAGCGCGCGUAGGUGGCUUGAUAAGCCGGUUGUGAAAGCCCCGGGCUCAACCUGGGAACGGCAUCCGGAACUGUCAAGCUAGAGUGCAGGAGAGGAAGGUAGAAUUCCCGGUGUAGCGGUGAAAUGCGUAGAGAUCGGGAGGAAUACCAGUGGCGAAGGCGGCCUUCUGGACUGACACUGACACUGAGGUGCGAAAGCGUGGGUAGCAAACAGGAUUAGAUACCCCUGUAGUC
rnacentral:rRNA from 1 species